rnacentral:rRNA from 1 species
GACGAACGCUGGCGGCGUGCUUAACACAUGCAAGUCGAACGGAAAGGCCCUGCUUUUGUGGGGUGCUCGAGUGGCGAACGGGUGAGUAACACGUGAGUAACCUGCCCUUGACUUUGGGAUAACUUCAGGAAACUGGGGCUAAUACCGGAUAGGAGCUCCUGCUGCAUGGUGGGGGUUGGAAAGUUUCGGCGGUUGGGGAUGGACUCGCGGCUUAUCAGCUUGUUGGUGGGGUAGUGGCUUACCAAGGCUUUGACGGGUAGCCGGCCUGAGAGGGUGCCCGGCCCCAUUGGACUGAGAUACGGCCCAGACUCCUACGGGAGGCAGCAGUGGGGAAUAUUGCACAAUGGGCGGAAGCCUGAUGCAGCAACGCCGCGUGCGGGAUGACGGCCUUCGGGUUGUAAACCGCUUUCGCCUGUGACGAAGCGUGAGUGACGGUAAUGGGUAAAGAAGCACCGGCUAACUACGUG